AGUUCAAGGCCAGCCAGGUCUACAGAGCGAAUUCCAGGACAGCCAGGGCUGUUACACAGAGAAACCCUGUUUUGAAAAACAAAACAACACAAACAAACACAAAAAGAUAGUUGAAAUACGGGAACUCUCAGAACUGGGGGUAGUGGGGGAAUCCUAGGAGGAUCAGGAUGGAGCUUAACCCAAGAUGAUCUUUCAAGAAACCCCAAAUCAAUUCCAGUCAAUGGUAAAGUGCCCCAUGGGGAAAACAAAAGCCAAGGCAAAACGUCUGUAUAAAAUGUUUAUUUUCGGAGGACCAUGUGGUCUGGUGUUUAGGAGGGUGCUCCAUCUACCCAACCAAGGAGCUGAGAGCGGAUGAAGCAGCAGGCAGCCUGGUGGGUCUGCUCCACCCUGCACAUCCCAGAGCACACCAGGGCCAGCUCUGAACUCCACAAUGGGAGUCAGAGAGCUGGGAUUGCUUCUGCCCCAGCAAACCCCCAAAGGGCCCAUGUGACUUCUGUAGCACCAGUCACUCUGCCCCUUUGCAGGGCUCCUUCUACAUGUGUGAAGACACACACACACCUAGUCUGAAAAGCACUGUUUAGUUUAGCUGCAUCUGCCAGGUUCCAGAAGGAAUUUUCACAUUUGCUUACUUCCAGAUCUUCCUCUGUCCCCCACUGCUAGUACCUGCACCCCAGCUCUGCCUUACUCCUUUCUCAGGGACUCCUCCCUCCCGGGACACAUGGGGGAGGGGCAGUUGACCUCAGCUCUUCCCUAAAACAGGUAAGAAGGAAACAACCCUAUGAGGCAUUAGCAUGAGGGGUUCCAUCUUCCCAAGGUCUGAGCCACAAACUUGGGGAAGAAACCUUAACUAAUAAAAAAUAAAAAAUAAAAGGUUAAAAAAAAAAAAACAAGAGGCAUAAAUAAGCAGCAACUGGGCCAGCAAGGAGGAAGGUAAAGUGGCCCUCAGUGGCCCCCUGUGCCCAAAUCAGCCUCUCCCUGUGGAAGUCAGCCAUCAGUAGCCAAGAUGACAGCAGCCCCGAAGAUGCCCACACUCUCGCCAAGUAGCUUCAUCUGGUUCCAGAACUCGACACGCCGCGUGUUGUGCCAAUAGGAGACAUUGCCAUCAAUGAGCAGCAUGACCGGGGGCAACAACACAGCCAGAAUCUGGGCAGCCAGAGUCACAUAGUAACCUGACAGGAAAGCCAGGGCCAGGACCCCAUAAAGCACGAAGAACAUCUGGACCAUCAGCUCCCCUCCUGGAAGAUGGUUCAGGUGCCUCCAAUCGACAGAGCCCCAACCUACCACACAAAUGAGGUAGAUGCCCAGGAACACCUGGCCAGUGGACUGCAGAGAACGGCUUCGGGGUUUCCGUCGGUAUAGCUCCCCAGCCCCACUGGCCAGCACCAGAAAGCCACCAAUGAUGGCAACAGUGCGUGAGUACAUACGGACCUAAGGUCAGGAAAAAAAGGGGCCCCAGUCAACUGCAAUCAUUACAUUUCUCUCGGUUGUCAAGAACACAUAACUGCUCCCUUCCAGUCAUCCCGUUCUAUCUGAUAAACCCUCUUACCUAUUCCAAGUGUAGUGGACAGGUACUGCAGAGAGAAAUUCUCUUUACAAGGCAGAAACUGAGGGCUGAGAGGAGAUAAGAAAACUGUCCAGGGUCCUACAGAAAGUAAGUGGCAGAACCCAGAUGCCACAUGUUGUCACCUCCUCCACCCCUAGUCUCCACCCCAGGGUUCUUGUCUCUAUGUAGUAUAAACUCUAUACCAACUAAAACAAGAAUAGCUAGCCCAGGCAGUGGUUGCGCACACCUUUAAUCCCAGCACUCGGGAGACAGAGGCAGACAGAUCUCUGUGUGUGAGUUCAAGGCCAGACUGGUCGACAGAGCAGGCGCCAGAACAGCCAAGGCUACUCAGAGAAACCCUGUCUUAAAAACAGAUGAACAAAACAGGCCCACUGUCCCAUGCAAAGCAGCCAACACAUCUGCCUCCCCUACUGGACUAACAAUCCAGUCCUUGAAGGCAGUGGCUCCACACCACCUUCUUCAGGCUGUCAGUGGCCAGUACUGCUUCUGCAUUUGCAGCCAAAAAUAUCUGCACUAAUAUUAAUUACAUAGCAUAAAACCUGAUGAGUAGGCUAGGUAUUCUCUAAAGUCUCUUUUGCUUUAUGAGUCUGGGAUUAAUAAAGUAGUGGUUUAAAGAAUUCUGGGAAACAGGUAACUCUGGGUUACAGGUCCCACCAGUAAAUUAUGGCAUGAUUUCAGAGAGGUCCAUUUCUCAUCUCGGGAUGUCCAUUGUCACACUCUACAAGGGAGAUCUGUGAGGUCUCUAUGUGUCUGCCAUGUCUGUGCUCUGUAAUAACAGCUACAAACCUAAUGCCUCAGACUUCAGGUUUGGGAGGACCACAUGUGCCCACCAAGUGCCCCAGGACUCUGCAGCUCCUUCCCCAUAGCUAAAUCUCUUCUAGAAUUUAUGUGCUCACCUUUAGCCAGUCCCCGUAAUGGACAUAGCCCCCGAUGUAAGCGGCAUAGGUGCUGAUGGCCAGCUGGAGCGCCGCACCCAACGCAAACCAGCGCCGCUUCACUCCGAAGGACAUGAAGCUAGCACACAACACAGCUGCUCCCAUGUCGAAAUACAGCAUACAACAUGAGCUGGCUGAAGCAACCCCAAAAGGGGCAGCGCGUGAGCAGCACCGAACCCAGCUGCAUGAUCAGCUGCAGCAUCCAGCGUCUCGAGCCAAUCUUCGAAGCCAUCUUGGGAAAGGGCAGUCCGCUGCGGCCUCACCCGGGUCUGGGAGACUAGGACGGAGGCUAAUACAAGUAACUUCCGGUCCCUUACUGUUUUUCUCUUCGUCGGGAAACAUAGCUCUUUCUCUCUAGUUCCGGAUGAAAAAUGUGUUCUAAAAGAAGGCGUUCAACCUUUCCGAACUCUGCCUAUGGGAGAGACCUCAGAGCUCCUCUUUGCACUUUCAAAAUGGGGUAUUAGCAAAGAACAUAGAUAGGGUCAGAACACCAAUAGUUCUGGAUCGCAGCUUGGAAGCAAACAAGACUAAAUGUAGCCAGACCCGGACACUAACCUGAAACCAAUCCUGCGUCAUCUAAACUGAGGCUCAUUUGUGAAAUGGGAAUAAUGACAUUUUACCUCACUGUUGCUGAAGUUAAACUUAACAAAGGUAGUCCUAGCACAUAAAAAAGGUAUGAUAAAAGGGUCCAAUAUAUCAACACAGGACUCAGAGAGAAUUCUUUGGCUUUAGCUGCAGUUUUAAAGAAAGGACUCUUUAUGUCUUUGUCUCCUGAGAGAAGAGGGAAGCCUAUACAUUCACAACAUCUUAAUCAGUCCAUUUUUUUCCAACUGCAAUAUUCCCGCUCUAGCCCUAACAGCCAUCAGCUUAACUUCAGCAUCCUUCAAGCGACCUCUACCUCCCCAUUACAUAGUCUCCAAACAUCCUUUGGUAGGAGGCUGAGGGCUGAUUUUAUUGUUCACAUGAUUUCCUAUGUAGAUCAGGAGAUCCUCCUAUCUGUCAUCCUCCUGCCUGCAUUUCAAGGGAUAGAGAUUGCAAACAUGCCUCCCCAGGUCUGACAGUCGCUUUCCUUUUUAAUCACUUCAGCAGAGGCAAUUACGAUUGACAUCUCUCUUAUCAAUAAACACACACGAUUAUGAAUUCCAGAGUGCAAUGAUUGUAAGCAUGUAGUUUACACACACACACGAUUAUGAAUUCCAGAGUGCAAUGAUUAUAAGCACACGAUUAUGAAUUCCAGAGUGCAAUGAUUAUAAGCAUGUAGUUUACACACACACACGAUUAUGAAUUCCAGAGUGCAAUGAUUGUAAGCAUGUAGUUUCUGUUUAUUUAUGUCUCAGGCCCAAACAUACACUCAGGAACUAUGUACUACACGGAGAGAUAAAUGAACAUAUGUCUUGUAGUUCGCAGUCAGUGCUCAUCAGACACCAAUGAAAGCAGCAGAAGUUCUGGGCAGUGCAUAGUUGCCACCACAAAGCUGCCCCCAUCUGUGUUUUGAGACACACAUGCCACACACCCUGUAAGACUAAUUCACCCUCUAAUAUUGAACUUAAAACCCUGUAAGCACUCUAGUGCCAAUGGUUAUU